UUUAAAAAGUUUUGGAUUCUUGUUUCUUAUCUGUAUUCCAGUGUCCAUGGAAGUCUAUUAUUUUUACCUAUCUCUAGAGAAGCUCUCAGUUACUUGCUUAUAUAGUUGAGACAUGCGUUAUGAGAUCUGCCCUCUGGCUAAGUGUCUUGCCUUGCCAACAAAGUGCCUUCAGUUUUACUUGUGAGUUGGAAAAAUUCCUCACAAGCUGGGGAACUCUUUAUAUCUUUCACCUGUCAUCUUUUGCAGUGAGUUCUUUAUUACAUUAAUCUUCCCACAGCAGUUCUGCAACCCGAGCGUAUUCCUGAGAGACUCCAGAUCUCAAUGACUGGUUUAGUCUACUUGUACAAACACUUAAUGAGAGCAAGAUACCCAUUUAUAAAUCAGGGGUGUCUUUAGCUUUUAUGUUUGAUUUACAUGUUAAAAAGAUUAUAUUUCAUCCCUAUAAUGAUGUACCUGCUGACUCUCUUUAUAUUUGUUGUUUAACAACAAAUAAUAAAAGGAAGACAUGAUAAGGUCAUCCUGCCAUGUGAUGGCACGAUUUUUUUUUUUCCAGCACAAUUUUGUUUUUAUCUAGAUUGUAGCCAAACCUUAAUUUACUGCCAGAUUUACCAUCUAGCCCAUGGUUUACCAUGGCCCUUUUAUUUUAGGCCCUUUCCCAUCUGCUGUAUGCCCAUUUCAUGCUUUAGAAGUAGUAUCAUCCAAAUGUGGUUUGUUAGAAGUCCCAUUACUUUCACUUGGGGAAGAUGUUCAAGUGAGAAAGAAUGUUAAAAUAUGUGUCUAGAAUUAGGUUUGAAGAUUUUUGUAAAAUUCAUCUGACUAGCCUAUAGUGGGUUUGGCUGGGCUUUAAAAAUGCUGCAGUCAUGCUAUGAAUGUGUUCUAUCAUGCUUAGAGACCUAAAAGCUGUUUUAACGGACCCUCACCUAAGCAAACUCAUUGAAUUUAUACCAGAAUGUCCGUUUACUUGCUUACAGUUUGGGAUAUACUUUUGUGGUGACUGUGAAUGUUCAUGCUGUCUCUCCACAUGUUCUAUCUAUCUUCUGCUGAAGAAAAAUGUGCUUUCCUAAUGAACUGAAAAGCUUCUGUCCCUCAGGCAAAGUUGCGCCCCUCCCUGACUAUUUCUGCAUUGAUAGAGUUCUGUCUCCCUGUACUGAACUCACCUUACUGCUCCUCGGUCCCGGAUUCUUGGUUUAAAUACCUAGUGUUUGUUUCAUUCACCUUAUAUCUGCAUCUUAGAAAUGUGGUAUAUACAUUAUAGUCCAAGCUAAGAGAAUUAGGGAAAUUUUUAAUUCCCCUUUUCCUCAGGUACACAGCUCAGAGUCCCCAUCCAGCAGACUAAAGUCUCUCUUCCCAAGCACACUACUCUGAUGCAUUUCUCGAUUCCUCCCUCCCCUUCCUCUUCUUUAUUAUCUGUAGCUCCUUUUACCUGCAGUCAGCUUUGGACACGCGUGCCUGCAUUGACAUGCAGAGUAGUGGAGAGAGACAGCAGGGUGUACUGGUUGAGAACACAUACUCUGGAAUCAGACUUCCUGGGUUUCCAUCCUGCCUCUUAUACUCCCCGCUGUGUGUUUUCUAACCUCUGUCUCUCGAUUUCCUUAACCAUAAAAGGCUAAUAGUAUGUACUUUACAAGGCAGUUGUGAGAAUUCGGUGAGACAGUAUCUGGAAAGUAGUUAGAGCCUGGCAGGAAAUGUUAGCCAUCACCUUCAUUACUGACUUUUGGGAAACACUUUUUCCCUUUACCUUCCCACUUUACUGUCUGCCUGUGAAUCAUUAAAAGUUUUUGGUUGUUUGUUUUAUUUAAAUUGUGUGAUAAGUAGUAAAGGAUGGAGCCCCUUGGCGGGCUACUGGUAGAAAGGUUUGAAAGCAAUUGUGCCCUAUGGUUUUAUCUCACAGACUUACUUACUCCCUGAUGGCUUGACUCUUUUAGAACGCUAACUUUCAACCUGUAAGACAUCUUCCCUUUAUUUUUUCUUAUUUUAGAGACAGAGACAGAGUGUGUGCACAUGUGUGCAAGCAGGGUAGGAGCAGAGGGAGAGAGAAUCCUAAGCAGGCUCCGUGCUGUCAGUGCGGAGCCUGACGUGAGGCUCGAUCUUAUGACUGUGAGAUCCUGAUCUGAGCUGAAAUCAAGUGUUGGACGCUUAACUGACCAAGCCACCCAGGCGCCCCAGAAGUCUUCCCUUUUUGUGCAUACUUCUUUUCCUUCUGUGAGCUUUAGAUAGAAAACCUAGCAUUUAGGCUUUUUACCAUGGGCUUUUUUUUUAAUACAUGAAAAUUCAUUUCAAAAUUCCUAUUUUAGUAAUACACCAUUUCUUUUGUACUUGGCUCUUUUUCCGACAGAUAUUCUACUGGAUCAUAAAAGUCAAAUUCAGAGGAUUUGUAUUUGCAAUACAUACCACCCCCAUCCUGUCAGUUGCCAGCUGUGUGGAUGUAGAUUUGGUGGCCAGACAAGGAGAGAGGAAAAUGUUUUCUAGGACUUUUUUUGCCUGAAGUGUACAGUUAUGUGCAUUCUAGCAUAGUGGUUCUUAACUCUCAUUUUCACCAGAAUACUUCGGGGAGCUUUUAAAAACUCCCAAGUGCCAGGGCACCACCUCACAGACUCAACUAAAGUUGGUGUGGGGUCCAAGCCCAGGCUUUGACGUAUGUUCUAAGUCCCCGGUUGUUGCCAAUGUGCAGCAGGUGCUGAGCACAACUAGAGUUUAGACCAGUUGAUUUUUACUCUUAACCUUUCAGGCCGAUCCUAAAGAAAUUAGGCAGUUUUUCCUCAUUUUUUUUUUAAAGUUUAUUUACUUAUUUUGAGAGAGAGAGAGAGAGAGAGAGAGGGAGGGGCAGAGGGAGAGAGAAUCCCAAGCAGGCUCCAUGCUGUCAGCGCAGAGCCCAACACAGGGCUCGAUCCCACGAGCUGUGAGAUCGCGACCUGAGUCAAAAUCAAGAGUCAGAUGCUUAACCGACUGAGCCACCCUGGCGCCCCCUCAUUUUUUUUUUAAAGGUACCGAUGAGAUGAGAAAGUUAAUAAUUUAGACUUAUCCACUUGGGGGCCUGGAAGGAUAUUAGAAAAUACCUAAUUGAACUCCCUGUUUUUUAUACAUGUGAGGAAACCAAGACCCAGAGAAGAUAGAUCCAAAACUGUUACUUAUGACUCAGGUCACAGUUUCUUUAUGUUAUUUUAUUUGUUACCUAUUCCCCAAAUUUUUCUUUUUCUUUUCUUUUUUCUUUUUCUUUUUCUUAAAAUUUUUCUUUUUCUUUUUCCUUUGGAGGAUGUGCUGGCCCCACACAUUCUUUCUUUGCCCGGCAAGAUGUGCAGCCACUGCUUAUUUAUGAUUUUUAAAUGCAACUGAAUGCUGAGGCAGCCUCUAGAACUGCUCUUCUGUUGAGUGCAGUUUUCUCCCUGUUUUCCUCACGUAUUAAUCAUAUUAUUCUCAUCUAGAACUGGUGGUUUUAGGGGUGCGUAGGUGGCUCAGUCCGUUAAGCGGCCGACUUGGCUCAGGUCAUGAUCUUGCGGUUUGCGAGUUUGAGCCCCGUGUCGGGCUCUGUGCUGGCAGCUCAGAGCCUGGAGCCUGCUUCGGAUUCUGUGUCUCCCUCUCUCUCUGCCCCUCCCCCGCUCACACUAUCUCUCUCUCUCUCUCUCUCUCUCUGUCUCAAAAAAAAUAAACAUCAAAAAGUUAAAAAAAAACUGGUGGUUUUAGCUUCUAGAUAAGAACUAUCUAAUAGAAUUGUCUGUGGUGUUGUGAAUGUUUUCUGUUUGGGCUGUGCACUGGUUGGUAGCCACCAGUGACAUGUGGCUAUUGAGCACUUACAGUGUGGCUAGUGAAACUCAGAAACUGAAUUAAAAAUAUUUUUGUGGUAAAAGGUAUUAACAUAAAAUUUGCCAUUUUGCCUUUUUCUUAUUGUGGUAAAAAACGCAUAACAUAAAAUUUACCAUCUUAACCAUUUUUAAAUACACAGUCCACUGGCACUAACUAUACUUACAAAGUUGUGCAGCCAUCACCACUAUCCUAUUUCCAAAACAUCUUCAUCACCCCAACGGAAACUGUACCCAUUGAACAAUAACCCCCAUUCUUCCUUCCCACAGCCUCUGGUUUCCUCUCUUCAACUUCCUCAAUUGGCUUAUUCUAGAUAUUUCAUAUAAGUGGAAUCACACAAUAUUUGUUCUUUUCCUUGAUUAUUUCCCUUAGCCAUAAUGUUUUCAAGGUUCUUCUGUGUUGCAGCAUGUUAUCAGGACUCCGUUCCGUUUUCUGUGUAUUCCCCUGUGUGUGUAUGCACUCACCUUUUCGUUGACACUUGGGUUAUUUCCACCUCUGGCAAUUGUGAAUAGUGCUGCAAUGAACAUUGGCAUAUAGCUCUCUGUUUGAGGCCCUGCUUUCAGUUCUUUUGGGUAUACAUAUCUAGGAGUGGAAUUGUUGGGUCCUGUGGUAAUUCUACGUUUACUUUUUUGACGAGCUAUCAAACUGUUUUCCACAGCAGCUGUACCAUUUUACAUGCCCACCAGUGAUGUAGGAGCUUUUCUCCGUGUCUUCACCAACACUUAUUCUUUUCUUCUUUUUUUAAAAAAAAAUUUUUUUUAAUGUUUUUAUUUAUUUUUGAGACAGGGAGAGACAGAGCAUGAGCAGGGGAGGGGCAGAGAGAGAGGGAGACACAGAAUCCAAAGCAGGCUCCAGGCUCUGAGGUGUCAGCACAGAGCCCAACGCGGGGCUCGAACUCACGGACUGUGAGAUCAUGACCUGAGCUGAAGUCGGACGUUUAACCGACUGAGCCACCCAGGCGCCCUCUUCUUUUUUUUUAAAUUAUAGCCAUCCUCAUAGGUAUGAAGUGGUAUCUCUUUGUGGUUUUAAUUUGUAUUUCCCUAAUGACUCAUAAUGUUGAGCAUCUUUUCCUGUGUUUAUUGGCCAUUUGUAUAUCUCCUAUGGAGGAAUGUCUGUUCAAGUUCUUCACCCAUCUUUUAAUUGGGUUGUCUUUUUGUUGUUGAGUUUUUAGUUCUUUGUAUAUUCUGGAUAUUAAACCUUUAUUAGAUAUGUGAUUUGCAAGUAUUUUCUCCCAUUCUGUGGGUAGUGUGUUCACUUUCUUGAUAAGGUCCUUUUUUAAAAAAAAAUUUUUUUUAAUGUUUAUUUUUGAGAAACAGAGAGAGACAGAGCAUGAGCGGGGGAGGCAGAGCAGGGAGAGAGGGAGACACAGAAUCCGAAGUAGGCUCCAGGCUCUGAGCUGUCAGCACAGAGCCCAAUGCAGGGCUCGAACCCACAAGCUGUGAGAUCAUGACCUGAGCCAAAGUCAGACGCUCAACAAACUGGAGCCACCGAGGCGCCCCUCUUGAUAAUGUCCUUUGAUGCACUGAAGUUUUGAUUCUGAUGACGUUCCAAUUCAUCUAUUUUUUCCUUAUGUUGCUCAUGUUAUAUCUAAGAAUGUAUUACCAAAUUCAAGGUUUGAAGAUUUACUGUGUUUUCUACUAAGAGUUGUAUGUGUUUCUCUCUCAUACCUAGGUCUUUGAUCCAUUUUGAGUACAUUUUUGUAUAUGAUGUCAGGUUUGAGGUCCAACUUGUUCUUUUGCAUAUGGAAACCCAGUUGUCCCAGAACCAUUUGUUGAAGAGACUAUCCUUUCCCCACUGAAUAGGCUUGGCAUUUCUGUCCAAGGCUAAUUCUAAUCCAUUUGUCUGUAUAUCUAUGCUUAUAUAACAGUACCACACUGUUUUGGUUCCUAUAGCUUAAUAGUAAGUUUUGAAUUCAGGAAGUAGGAGUCCUUCAACUUUGUUCUCACUGUUAAAUGGCUGGGGGUUUUUGUUUGUUUUUUGUUUUUUUGGCUUUUCAGGCUCUUUUGUAAUCCUAUAUGAAUUUGAAGAUGGGCUUUUCCAUUUCUGCAGGAAAGGCUGUUGGAAUUUUUUUUAAUAUGUAUUUUUAAUGUUUAUGUAUUUAUUUUGAGAGAAAGUGUGUGCACAUGCACAAGCAGGGGAGGGACCGAGAGAGGGAGAGAGAGAAUCCCAAGCAGGCUCCAGGCUGUCAGCACAGAGCCAGGCACCAGGCUCCAUCAGUCCUACAAACUGUGAUAUGACCUGAGCCAAAAUCAAGGUCGGAUGAGGCGCCUGGGUAGCAUCAGUUAAGCAUCUGACUUCGGCUUAAAGUCAUGAUCUCGUUGUGAUUUUAAUUUGUAUUUGCCUAAUGACCAGUAAUGUUGAACAUCUUUUCCUGUGUUUAUUGGCCAUUUGUAUAUCUUCUGUGGAGGAAUAUCUGUGUGCUUGGAGCUCAGAUCCUAGAGCCUGCUUCAGAUUCUGUGUCUCCCUCUUUCUGCCCCUCCCCUGCUCACUCCCUGUCUGUCUGUCUGUCUGUCUGUCUCUCUCUCUCAAAAAUAAGUAAAACAUAAAAAAACAGAGCUGGAUGCUUAACUGAGCCACCUAGGUACCCUGAAAGGCUGUUGGAAUUUUGAUAGCAAUUGCAUUGAAUUUUUAGAUCACUUUGGAUAAUAUUGACAUCUUAACAAUAUUAAGUCUUCCUAUCCAUGAACACGAGAUGUCUUUCCAUUUUUCAGUUCUUAAUGUCUUUCAGCAACGAUUUAUCAUUUUCAUUGGACAAAUCUUUCACCUUCAUGGCUAAAUUUAUUCCUAGGUAUUUUAUUCUUUUAGAUGCUAUUGGAAAUGGAAUUGCUUUCUUAAUUUCUUUUUCAGGUUGUUUAUUAUUGGUGUGAAGAAACAAAACUGAUUCUUGUUGACUUUGUGCACUGCGUCUUUACUCAAUUUGUUCAUUAGCUCUAGUAGGUUUCUUGCGGAUUCUUUGGUUUUUCUAUCUAUAGGAUCCUAUCAUCUGCAAAUAGAGAUGGUUUUAAUUCUUCCUUUCCAGUUGCUCUGGCUAGGACUUCCAGUAUAAUGUUGAAUAGCAGUGGUGAAGUGAGCAUCCUUGUUUUGUUCUUAUCUUAGAGGGAAGUUUUUCAGCCUUUCUCCGGUGACUAUGAUUUUAACCGUGUAUUUUUCAUAAAUGCUCUUUAUCAUGUCAAGGAAGUAUCUCUUCAGAGAAGUUCCUUUGGAUUCAUAGUUUUAUGAGUCUUAAAUCUGAAUUUCAAAUCUUAUUAGAUUUUAUUUAGAUUACAUUGAAAUUUAGUUAAUCUCAUGUGAUUACUGGUAUUGCAUUGGACAACGCAGUUUUAGAUCUCUAUAAGUCUUCUUCGUAUUCUACCUUUUUCUCAUUUUUUGUGAUGAGUCUCCUCCUUGAGAGAUGCUUUUAGUACUGGUUGUUAAUAAUCCUUGGAGUUCCCCUAAAGGUGUAAGAAAUACUAAUUUUUGUCUUAAAACUAUAUAUUGUUAGGUUUGGAGCUAUUCUCAUUUAUGACUUUGUAGAACACUUUUUCCAUCUAGCUCAAAAACAGGAUUAUUUUUUUAAAGAAUGAAGCCUUGCCUUAGAAAUCCAGUCAACUAGGUAUAUCAGGUGGACACAGCUGGUGAACUUCACAUUAGAAGAUAGUGAGGAUACAGAAUGUCCCUUCAGGCAUACUGCUAGCCUAUUUCAAAUGCCAUUGGUUUUGAGAAGAGUGGCCAGUUAGAAAAUGGUAUUACCAAUACUUAAUAGUCUAUAGCGUAAGGAAGAGAGAAAAUGAGUUUCAGAGCCCUGUUACACAUCAAAUACUGUUUCCUUUUCUGGAGACCACAGUGUUUGUUUGCUGUCAUUUUCCUUUCCUAAGUAAUCAAACGAAUUUCCUUCAUGUGUAAAACUUUUUUUCCUUCUUUCAUUAAAAAAAAUUUUUUAAUGUGUUUUUAUUUUUGAGAGAGAGAAACAGAGUGUAAGCAGGGGAGGGGCAGAGAGAGAGGGAGACACAGAAUCUGAAGCAGGCUCCAGGCUCCACACUGUCAGCACAGAGCCUGGUGCAGGGCUCGAACCCACAAACCGUGAGAUCAUGACCUGAGUUGAAGUCGAAUGCUUAACUGACUGAGCCACCCAGGUGCCCCUCCUUCUUUCAUCUUAAUAGAAGGGGUACCUUUAAGAUAUUAACCAGAGGCUAAUGGGGCUGUUGAGUUAUAAUCUACUUGCCAUUAGCUGCUGCCUUACUCCAUAUGAAUUUCCUUAGUGUAUUAAAUUUGCUCCUUAAUUCUACUUUAUUUUCUUUUGAUUUUUUUUUCAAACAUUUUAUGAAAUAUAAAAAAAACAAAGAAUAACAUAAUGAACACCUGUGUUCACAGCUCCCAGAUUAUGGGCUAAAACACGCCAGUAAAAAAUUUCUGAUGUACCCCUUGCUGUCACGUCUACCCCUCACUUGCAGUCACUAGUUUCAAAUAUUCUCUCAUUUUACUAUUUUUUUAAUUAAAAAAUAAUAAAUAAUCUCUACCCCCAGCAUGGGGCUGAAACUCACAAGCCCGAGAUCAAGGGUGGCAUGCUCCACUGACUGAGCCAGCCAGGUGCCCCUAUUCUCUCUCAUUUUAAAGCAGUUUCAUGGGGUGCCUGGGUAGCUUAGUUGGUUGAGCAUCUGACUCUUGAUUUUGGCUCAGAUCAUGAUCCCAGCGUUGUGGGAUCGAGCCCCUGUGUCGGCUCUGUGCUGAGCAUGGAACCUGGUUAAGAUUCUAUCUCUCUCGUCCUCUCCCUUCUCCCCAACUCACGUGCUCUCUCUCAAUCUCU